UACAGAGGUCUCAAGCGUUGUUCGGAUUCAUUGGGCGUAAAGGGUGCGUAGGUGGCAUGGUGAGUCGGAUGUGAAAUCCCGGGGCUCAACCCCGGAACUGCAUUCGAUACUGCUGCGCUAGAGUACUGGAGAGGAGAUUGGAAUUUACGGUGUAGCAGUGAAAUGCGUAGAUAUCGUAAGGAAGACCAGUGGCGAAGGCGGAUCUCUGGACAGUUACUGACACUGAGGCACGAAGGCCAGGGGAGCAAACGGG
rnacentral:rRNA from 1 species